CUCCGGCUCGAAGGACCA
rnacentral:ncRNA from 3 species